rnacentral:rRNA from 1 species
ACGGGAGGCAGCAGUGGGGAAUAUUGCACAAUGGGCGAAAGCCUGAUGCAGCGACGCCGCGUGAGUGAUGAAGUAUUUCGGUAUGUAAAGCUCUAUCCGCAGGGAAGAUAAUGACGGUACCUGACUAAGAAGCACCGGCUAAAUACGUGCCAGCAGCCGCGGUAAUACGUAUGGUGCAAGCGUUAUCCGGAUUUACUGGGUGUAAAGGGAGCGCAGGCGGUACGGCAAGUCUGAUGUGAAAGCCCGGGGCUCAACCCCGGUACUGCAUUGGAAACUGUCGAACUAGAGUGUCGGAGGGGUAAGUGGAAUUCCUAGUGUAGCGGUGAAAUGCGUAGAUAUUAGGAGGAACACCAGUGGCGAAGGCGGCUUACCGGACGAUAACUAACGCUGAGGCUCGAAAGCGUGGGGAGCAAACAGGAUUAGAUACCCUGGUA